GAUGAACGCUGGCGGCGUGCCUAAUACAUGCAAGUCGAGCGAACGGAUGAGGAGCUUGCUCCUCUGACGUUAGCGGCGGACGGGUGAGUAACACGUGGAUAACCUACCUAUAAGACUGGGAUAACUUCGGGAAACCGGAGCUAAUACCGGAUAAUAUAUUGAACCGCAUGGUUCAAUAGUGAAAGACGGUUUUGCUGUCACUUAUAGAUGGAUCCGCGCCGCAUUAGCUAGUUGGUAAGGUAACGGCUUACCAAGGCAACGAUGCGUAGCUGACCUGAGAGGGUGAUCGGCCACACUGGAACUGAGACACGGUCCAGACUCCUACGGGAGGCAGCAGUAGGGAAUCUUCCGCAAUGGGCGAAAGCCUGACGGAGCAACGCCGCGUGAGUGAUGAAGGUCUUCGGAUCGUAAAACUCUGUUAUUAGGGAAGAACAAAUGUGUAAGUAACUAUGCACGUCUUGACGGUACCUAAUCAGAAAGCCACGGCUAACUACGUG
rnacentral:rRNA from 1 species